GGACCCGCACAAGCGGUGGAGCAUGUGGUUUAAUUUGACGCAACGCGGAGAACCUUACCAGCCCUUGACAUCCCGGUCGCGAGGAGUGGAGACACACCUCUUCAGUUCGGCUGGACCGGUGACAGGUGGUGCACGGCUGUCGUCAGCUCGUGUCGUGAGAUGUUCGGUUAAGUCCGGCAACGAGCGCAACCCCUAUUGUUAGUUGCCAGCAUUAAGUUGGGGACUCUAACGAUACUGCCAGUGAUAAGCUGGAGGAAGGCGGGGAUGACGUCAAGUCAUCAUGCCCUUUAUGGGCUGGGCUACACACGUGCUACAAUGGUGGUGACAGUGGGCAGCGACUUCGCGAGGAGGAGCAAAUCCCUAAAAACCAUCUCAGUUCGGAUUGUACUCUGCAACUCGAGUGCAUGAAGUUGGAAUCGCUAGUAAUCG
rnacentral:rRNA from 1 species